CAUGAUAACACUCAUGGUUCAUGUGCUGCUCUGACUUCGUUCACACCCUCACUGCCCACCGCCCAGUGGUGACCAUGGAGAGGAUUUGUUGAGAGUUUCAGUUUCUCAGGCUGGAAAAUGAAUGUCCAGCCAAUCUCUGCUCUGAACCUCAGAGAAGUGCUUCAUGUGCCUCAGGUCCCUUGUGCCCCCUUGAUCUAAAUGGAAAACAUCGGGAUACCUUGCUUCCUGCCUGUUAGCCCUGAACUCUUGUUCUCUACACAUCUAGAGGCCAGGAGCUGGAUCCGUUGAAGUUCUGUGGGCAUGCUUCUUGUGACUUAAUGAAAGUCUCCAGGAAGAAGGAGCUGGCUGCAUUUUCACUUAUAAAUUAUAUGACAGCUGGAACACGGCAGCUCCAGAUAGGGAAACUGCCUGAAUUUUGACACUGGUUGUGUCCAUGUUGAAGAUAACAGGCAAAAAACUAUUGAUGCAACUGGAGUUGAA
rnacentral:lncRNA from 1 species